AACGAACGCUGGCGGCAGGCCUAACACAUGCAAGUCGUACGCUGUAGCAAUACAGAGUGGCAGACGGGUGAGUAACGCGUGGGAACGUGCCUUUCGGUUCGGAAUAACUCAGGGAAACUUGAGCUAAUACCGGAUACGCCCUUCGGGGGAAAGAUUUAUUGCCGAAAGAUCGGCCCGCGUCCGAUUAGCUAGUUGGUGUGGUAAUGGCGCACCAAGGCGACGAUCGGUAGCUGGUCUGAGAGGAUGAUCAGCCACACUGGGACUGAGACACGGCCCAGACUCCUACGGGUGGCAGCAGUGGGGAAUAUUGGACAAUGGGCGCAAGCCUGAUCCAGCCAUGCCGCGUGAGUGAUGAAGGCCCUAGGGUUGUAAAGCUCUUUCGCCAGGGACGAUAAUGACGGUACCUGGAUAAGAAGCCCUGGCUAACUUCGUGCCAGCCGCCGCCGUAA
rnacentral:rRNA from 1 species